rnacentral:siRNA from 1 species
AACCAAAGAUUGUUGAUGUUUUA